AACGUAGGUGGCGAGCGUUAUCCGGAAUUACUGGGCGUAAAGGGAGUGCAGGCGGUUGCGUAAGUUAGGCGUGAAAGACUUCGGCUAAACCGGGGGAGGUCGUCUGAUACUGCGUAACUAGAGUGUGGUAGAGGCGUGUAGAAUUCCGGGUGUAGUGGUGAAAUGCGUAGAUAUCGGAAGGAACAUCAGUGGCGAAAGCGACUUCCUGGACCAGUACCGACGUUCAGGCACGAAAGCGUGGGGAGCAAACAGG
rnacentral:rRNA from 1 species